AUAGCGCGGCCACAGCAGGCGGCUAGAGGAGGGGAGGACGAGGCAGUGCUCCCUUCCCCUUCCUCCCUCCCCACUCCCAGAUCCGGCUGAAGGGAAUGACGGCGGCAACGGAGACGGCUCUCCCCUCCCAGGUCUCCCCCUUGUCUCCCUCCCUCUUAGAUCCGGUUGGAGGAGGGGAGGGUGGUGGUGGCGGCGUGGCUCCCUCCCUCCCAAAUCCAGCCGGAGGGUAGGGGGUGGCGGCAGUGGCAGUCAUAGUAGGCGACAGCGGUGCCGCAACCUUCCCUCCCCUUCCCUCACUCUCCUUCCCAAAACCCUAACCCUAGAUCUGACGCCCGAAGAAGGAGCCGGGGAGAGCGGCGGCGAUGUUUUUUUUUGUUCGAUGAGAAUGAUUAUCGCAUGCGGGUGUCUGACUGUCUGUGGCACCUUCAAAAAUAGAGAGGUCACCUGAGAAAAUCAUUUUUGCAAGCAGGACUGAUGUCUAUCUAUAAAAAUGGUGUAUUUUCCC
rnacentral:sRNA from 1 species